AUGUUUAAUACAGGCAUGGAUCGGUCUGCAAGAGAACAAAAGAGAGUGAAGAUGGGGGCUCUCCUCUUCCGGCAGCAGCAGGAGCCGGCAUGGUUCGUCUCGCUCGCCAUCCUUGGCGCUCUGCACGUCGCUGCCGUCGCCUUCCGUAUCCUCUCCCACCUGCUCUUGCUGCUGCGCCGCCCCACUGACCUCUGCCACCGCUACGGCGCCUGGGCCGUGGUCACCGGCCCCACGUCCGGCAUGGGCCGCUCCGUCGCCCUCGAGCUCGCCCGACGCGGCCUCAACCUCGUCCUCGUCGGCCGCGACCCUGCCAAGCUCCAGGACAUCUCCGACACCAUCUCUUGCACCUACGCCGUGCAAACCAAGACCGUCGUGGUCGACCUCGCCCUCAUCGCCACGCCUCAAGGUGAUGAGGCACUUCGGCUGCUCCGGCAUGCGGUAGCGGGGCUCGACGUUGGGGUGCUGGUAAACAACGCCGGCCUAGCGAAGCCCUGCGCGGUGUAUCUGCACGAGGCGGACGUGGAGGCCUGGGUGAGGAUGAUCAGCGUGAACCUGUGGGCGCUGACUGAGGUGACGGCGGCGGUGCUCCCGGGGAUGGUGGAGCGGGGCAGGGGUGCCAUCGUCAACAUCGGCUCUGGGACCACCCUGACCAUCCCGUCAUUCCCGCUCUUUUCCAUCUACGCCGCGUCCAAACGGUACGUUACUCAGUUGUCCAGGAGCCUUCACGUUGAGUACAGGGGCAAAGGAAUUGAUGUACAAUGUCAGGUGCCGUUGUUCGUGGAGACCAACAUGACAUUGGGGGCGACAGCAUCCCGCAAGCGACGAAGCUUCUUGUCCCGGCUAAUCAUGCCGACAUCGGACGAGUAUGCCAAAGCGGCGGUGUGUUGGAUCGGGCAUGGCCCGCUCUGCAUGCCUAACCUAGGUCACCGGCUCGAGUGGUGCAUCUGCCAUGUUGUGCCCGACUGGAUACUCGAUGAGUUGUGCCUCCGGCUGAACCUAUGGCACAGAGUUCGUUUCCAGCGCCUCAGGACGAUGAGAGCAUCAUGGACAAACGUCGUCAACGACGGAUGUGUGCCUUGCAAGCAAGUCUAA
rnacentral:rRNA from 1 species